GGGCCGAAAGCUCAUUAGGUAUGAGCAAUCCCCUCAUAAGGGAAAGGUAGCAGGUUCGAAUCCUGCUCGGCCCACCA
rnacentral:tRNA from 1 species